CUCUACUCACGAGAGAACAAUGGAGGCCAAUUGAGCGAGUAAGUUGUUUGGAAACAGUCCGCAGCCCACAACAGCGAUGAGCACACAUAAAGAACGCACAUUAAGUGUUAAGAAGUGGAGAGGACAACUAUAGUUGGAGAUCUAUUUCUUUAUAGCGAAUUCCUCUGACUCAUCUCCUUGAGUGUCUCCUUACUCUCUCUGCUGGAAGCUAACAAGGCAGCCCUUCUCGCAAACAAACUUUCAGAGACAAAGAAAGAAAUGCUAUGUUGUGGGUCAACUCUUUCUCUGCAUUAUAAUAACAGAAGGAAAAUGACUGGAAGCCAUUUUUGACGAAGGCAAUGACUGAGUGAAGCAACAGAGAAAGCAGCAAGCCCAUCAAAGGAAAGAUGCCCAGUAAUCUUUAGUAUUGAACUCAUUUGGCCUUAUUUCGGCUUUCAAAGAUAGUACAUCAUGCAUGUGAGGGUGAGCAACCUGG
rnacentral:lncRNA from 11 species